rnacentral:rRNA from 1 species
GAGUUUGAUCCUGGCUCAGAGUGAACGCUGGCGGCAGGCCUAACACAUGCAAGUCGAACGGCAGCACAGAGGAGCUUGCUCCUUGGGUGGCGAGUGGCGGACGGGUGAGGAAUGCAUCGGAAUCUGCCUAUUUGUGGGGGAUAACGUAGGGAAACUUACGCUAAUACCGCAUACGUCCUACGGGAGAAAGUGGGGGACCUUCGGGCCUCACGCAGAUAGAUGAGCCGAUGCCGGAUUAGCUAGUUGGCGGGGUAAAGGCCCACCAAGGCGACGAUCCGUAGCUGGUCUGAGAGGAUGAUCAGCCACACUGGAACUGAGACACGGUCCAGACUCCUACGGGAGGCAGCAGUGGGGAAUAUUGGACAAUGGGCGCAAGCCUGAUCCAGCCAUGCCGCGUGAGUGAAGAAGGCCUUCGGGUUGUAAAGCUCUUUUGUCCGGAAAGAAAAGCAUUCGGUUAAUAACCGGGUGUCAUGACGGUACCGGAAGAAUAAGCACCGGCUAACUUCGUGCCAGCAGCCGCGGUAAUACGAAGGGUGCAAGCGUUACUCGGAAUUACUGGGCGUAAAGCGUGCGUAGGUGGUUUGUUAAGUCUGAUGUGAAAGCCCUGGGCUCAACCUGGGCACUGCAUUGGAUACUGGCUUACUAGAGUGCGGUAGAGGGGUGUGGAAUUCCCGGUGUAGCAGUGAAAUGCGUAGAUAUCGGGAGGAACAUCUGUGGCGAAGGCGACACCCUGGACCAGCACUGACACUGAGGCACGAAAGCGUGGGGAGCAAACAGGAUUAGAUACCCUGGUAGUCCACGCCCUAAACGAUGCGAACUGGAUGUUGGGGGCAACUUGGCCCUCAGUAUCGAAGCUAACGCGUUAAGUCGCCG